GAAGAAGGAUGAGAGCUCCAAAGCAGCAUGCAAUCUGUGAUCGGAGAAAGGAUGUGCGUCAAUCAGAGCGAGGAAUCAGCUGGCCAUCAUCUCAAGCACCAAUCACAGUCAGCCUUUCACAACAUCCAUAAAUCUUCAAUGUUCAGGCUUCACUUGCUGUCCCAAGAUAAAUCAAACUGAGAGCAGACCAACAUCCUUUGCCAGUUUCCUGUAACCAAAGAGAUAGUCAGUUCAGCCAAUCCCCAGCCAGAACUGUGUGGAAUGGAUUCCUGAACCCUCUAUGAAUUUCCUUCCCUGAGAAAAGUUAUCUUCCAAAUUACUAGAGCCAAAGCACUCAGUGGUAAUGCUCAUUGGGAAUACUUCUAUGAAGCAUUAACUUUAUUCUGGGGGAAAAACACCAGGAGUCGCCGCCAGUACUUGAUUCAAUUCCUCUGAUUAUUGCUGCAUUCUCCAGAACAGAUGUUCAGCCAUGACAGACUACAUUUGCCUCUGCAGAGACACUUCUCGCAGGUGUGGUUGACAGACGAAUGCUGAUGAGUAUCUCUGGAGUGACAGCAGUGAUGGCAACUGAACUGGCCACUGAAAGUACUGUUCUGCAAACUCCAGCCCAAAUGGUGGACAGCAACAGAAACCUGACUGUUUUGAAGACAAGCGAUGUGCCUUUCAGGAAGCCAUCUUCUUUGAAUCAGUCAUCUCAGAGUUGUAGGACAUCGGCUUUGCCUCAGGUCUGCUGGGGCUUGGAGCUCAACAUGGCCAUGCUGUUGAUGGUCUUGGCUGGACUGUUAAUCUUGGUGUUACUUUACCGGGUGCUCCUCCUGCGCCACAGACUCCGUGUUGCUCAGGCUGGGAAUGCUCUGGAAUACUUUGGGUUUUACCACAUGGCUCAGUAUGAUUUAAAGCAACCAGGCCAACCACCUCUACCUGAAGCAGCUCCACAGGUUUCCACUUCUUCUGUUACCAUUCCUUCCCCUUCACCUGUUAUCCGACCUCCUUCCAUCCAUCCUCCUCUCCACCUCUCUCCUCCACCUCCAGCACACCUGUUGUAUCUGCCUCUCCCCAUUAUCCACACCACGCCACCCAGCCCCCACCCAUCAUGUGGGGCAGGCUCGGAUGCAGAGGUGUACUCACGGAUCAACGUUCUGCGGCCUUCCAGACCAUCCAGUGUGAGUCAAACUCAAGUGAUCCUGUUUGAACAUUCUGCUCUUUAAUAGUGUGAUUUUUUCAGACUAAGCAGACACUGCAAAUUUCACUCCAGCUGUUUAAACUUAAGCAUAAUGAUAUUUAAAGGGUUAGUUCACCCUCUCAAGUUGUUCCAAACCUGUUUGACUUUCAUUCAUCUGAGAAACACGAUGAACUUUUACUUCUGUGUUCCACUGAUUAAAGAAAGUCAUAUGGGUUUUAAACAGCUUGAGGGUGAGUAAAUGAUGACAAAAUGUUCAAUUUAGGGUGAAAAAUCCCUUUAAAGUGUACUGUCUUAGAUAGAUCAGACAAUGAAAAUGCACAAUACAUUUACAUAAUGCCCUUCAAAAGAUAUUAUGUUUGAUUGCUUUUUAUAUAUUUCCUGUAAUUAUUAUUUAAAAUGUUUUACAUUUAAAAAUAACUUUAAAUGUCUUUUUUAUGUUAUGCUUUCCUAUGUUAGGAAGAAGUAACAUAAAUGUUUUAAAAAACUUAUUUCUCUCUUUGUCCUGAAGUACACUGACUUAGUGAUUUCCUUUAAAGGGUGGGAUUUCCUGAGGACACUUUCCAUUGCUUUGUUUCUUUCUGCCUCUUAGGAUUUCAACAUUCCUUUCUGUCUCACUGUCUUAACAACUACACCCCCCCCCCCCCCCACAUAAAAUACAUAAAACUGUAUGUUAAUUAUGCUGUAAUACUGUGUAGAUUCAUACAUGAAAAUAUGUGGAAAUGUGUUGCUUUUCUUUUAAUUAGCUCUAAGAGAAGAACUAAUAUUUUUCUGAAUAUAUGAGUGAAUGGACAAUUCCACAAAACACCUUGAGGCAUCUGAUUGUGCGAACAUUUACAUGUAUUCAUAUGGCAGAUUCUUUCAUCCAAAGCGACUUGCAUUCAGGGUGUACAUUGUAUCAGUAUGUGAAUUCCCAAAGAACUGAACCCAUGACCUUGGCAUUGCUAACGCCAUGCUUCACCAGUUGAGCUACAGGAACUGAAUAAAGUAACAAUACACUGCAACAGAGCACUUUGUUAUCUCCAAAAUAUAUGUGUCCCUCAUGUGUGAACAUUCUAAAGCCAAAAGAUAUAUUUGAAUAAUUGAUGACUCACUUAAUGUAUAAUUUAGCUUUGUAAAGUAGCUGCAGGUGGUACACAUGAUAAUCGUGGAUGAAAAGUUCAAGACCUUUUCAUGAACUUAAAACUUGCCAUGGUUUGGUGCAUUAAUGUGCAUGGUCUGGUGCAUUAAUCAGGAUCUUUUGUAACAUUAAUUUCAAUGUGAAUAUUAUUAUUAGGUUGUUGUGUUUUUAUUUUAAUUUUUUAUUAGCUUUUUACAUUUACUAUUUUAUAUACUCUGUUCAUUUGCAGCCAAAAAAAUAAAAUCAAACUUAAUGAAUAAUAAUAAUAAAAAAAACUUCUCCAUAACUUUUGAUGUAUUAAAGUAAUUAAGUUGAACCCUUUAAGCUCUGAAGGUGUUUUUAAAGAUUUCCUGUUUCAGUAGCAUGCCAAAAGUUAAAGGCUUAUUACUCUCUCUUUGUUUGUUCCCAAUCGUGUCACCUGUAACAAGGGUUGGGGAGUAAUGAAAUACAAGUAACAGGAAUAUGUAUUUAAAAUACAAAAUAUAAGUAACUGUAUUCCACUACAGUUACAAAUUAAAUCAUUAGAAUACAGUUACAUUCAAAAAGUAUUUUGAUUACUGAAGAGAUUACUUUGCAUUUUAUUGUCAUUUGUUUCAUUUAAUAUUUAGUCCUUUCAGAUGGAAAACAUUUAUACAUAUAAAUGAUGCAAUCCAAAGUGCAUUUGAACAGCGGUGAAACACUUUCUUAUGAUGUGUUACAUUCAUAUGAGCAGACAGAGAAGUACGUUUGAAGUAAGUUUGGAGCAGAAGAAACAGAAAUAAACCUUGUGUAAAUUGUCAGCUUUACACUAAGCUAAAAUGCUAUUUCUAGCCAUUUUACAUGCAUGUUCCCAGGCACGAUCAUAUUUUUUUAAUAAUAUAAUAAUUUCUUUUUUUCUAGUAAGAACUUUGAUAUUAGGGCAAAAAUUGUAUUCUUGAUAAUAAUUAUUGUAUUGUUUUCCUGUAAAAAUAUCUACAAAUCCUUAAAACAAGAUCAGUUUGUCUUAUCUUGUUUUAGAAACAACACUGCAUAAGAUAUUUAGGCUUUUUUGAGGAUGUAUUUUUAACAAGUGUAUUUUGUCUUACUGUACUGGCAGAGUUUUUAUAGUCAAAACAAGUGAAAAAAUCUACCAGUGCUGAAGAAGUAAUCCAAAGUAUUUAGAAUAUGUUACUGACCUUCAGUAAUAUACUGAAAUACGUUACAAAUUACAUUUUACAGCAUGUAUUCUGUAAUCUGUAGUGGAAUACAUUUCAAAAGUAACCCUCCCAACCCUGCCUGUAAAUUUGUAAAAUUUUGUGUUGAUACAGCAAAGCAAUCAAAAGUUAGAGCAUUACAAAAAUAAUUUAUCUGAGUGUCCAAAGGUAAUGGACAUGGUAUUUAAUGUUUGUUUUCAUGAGUUCAAUGUUUAUCAAAAUAAAUAAAGCAAUACUUCUUCUAAGCCUCAUUCAUGUAAGUAUUUGAGAAUACCACUGGGUUAUUUACUUCCACAAGCAACCCUUAUUUUUUAUUCUUAUGCCUUAUUCAACACUGACACACUUUUUAUGGUUGAUUUCACUUGCAAUUAGGAAUCUGUCAAAUUAAUGUUGUUCUGGAUGGUGAGUUUGAAUAUUGAGGUGACAGGUGUAAUUCCUAUUUAGGAAACAAGCUUGAAUCUGUUCAUGUCUCAGGACAUAUUGUAUAAUGUAUGACUGUGAGUGUCUGAUUUUACACCAUGCUGUGCAUUUGUUUUUUAAAACUUGAUAGCCUGGGUUCUGAUAACAGUAUACAUGAAAAUGUGUAAGAUUAACAGUAUAAAUUUUGUAGUGAAAAACAAGCAUCUUGUCUGGGCCAUAUCAUUGCAAUGUUUGAUUGUUUCACAUACUGAUUACACCUUUUCCUUCAUAUUCUUUAGACUGUUCUAUUAAAAAUGGCAAAAAUCCCAAAAAUAAAAAAAGAAGAAUGAAAUACAA